UUGUUAAGUUCUGAUAACUUGAUUACAGGAGGUGGCACAUGCCUGUCAUCCCAGCGGCUCCACAGACUGAGGAAGAUGGCAAGUUCAAAGCCAAACCCAGCCUCAGUAAUUUAGCAAUUUAGAGUCUCAAAAACUAAAAAUAAAUGAAUAAAUAAAAACAAAACAAAACAAACAAACAACAACAACAACAAACAAAAAACCAAAACAACAACAACAACAACAAAAAACAGGGCUGGGCUGGGGUUAUAGCUUAGUGGUUAAACACCCCUGGGUUCAAUCCCUGGUACCAGAAAACACAAACAAACAAAACAAUACCAAAAAAUCUACUACAAAUUGGACUCUAUCCUUGUCUUCUUUCCCACUCGGAUGGAAACUGUGGACAAAGUAUGAAAGCAUUAAAGAACAACAAAGCACACUUUGCCAAUCAUUGCAGUGUCCAAAGCUCCUUCUUCUGUAAGAGAAUCAGAAGAUACAUUUCUUCUCCAAGGUUUGGCACAACUUCUAAUGAGCAAAAUGAUGAGAUUAGACUGGUACCCUCAGUCUUUUUCCAAAUUAUAACAUGUUAAUAUAACCAAUGGAUUAAAUUAGAAAUCAUGAUUUCCAUCCACACAACACUCAAUACACAUAGCUGCUUAGAGGCAACAAUUAUCCUUGGAAAUUAAAGACCAAAACAGCACAGUAUCAUCUAACUAUACCCUCAAUGCAAAUAGUGUUAUCCAAAGAAGCUCCCAGUAAGAGAACACAUGUAAAAAAUGUUAAUUUAGAUAGACUGAUAAUUUAAAAACCAACAUAGGCCCCUCUUUUGGAUCAUUUAUGUAAAACUGUUAGUAAGUGUUCCAAGUUUUAACACUUGUCUAUUCAAGACAAAUUACUAAUUUGCUAAAAUUUUAAUUUUUCUUAAUCAGGGAAGUUUGCACCUAGUGGAUCGUCUUUUUUUUUUUUUCCUUCCUAAUUAACAUGCUCUUUUCUUUCUGUUUGCCGGAUAUCCCCUACUUAUUCAUUUAUUUUUUGGUUUUUCUUUAUCACUUUGUUUUACAUUUUUUUUAUAUAGCACAUAGUUGGGUUUGUUUUUAAGCCAGUCUGACAGCCUAUGUCCUUCCUUCCUUCCUUCCUUCUUUCCUUCCUUCCUCUCUUUCUCUCUCUCUUUCUUUAUUUUUUCUAGAUAUUGGGAAUUGAACCUGGGGCCACUGAACUACAUUCCCAGCCCCUUUUAUUUUGAAUUAGUUAAGUUGCUGAGGCUGGCUUUGAACUUGUGAUCCUCCUGCCUCAGCCUCCUGAGUUGCUGGAAUUAUGGGUGUGCAUCACAACGUCUAGCUCAAUCUAUCUUUUAAUGGAUUAAUUCAGCUCAUUUACAUUUAAUUAUAUUAGUAAUCUAUUCUUCUACGUGUGUUUAUUAUUUGUUUUACAUUGCUGUUUCCUUUUUUAUCCUCUGUCUUAUCUUUACUAGUUUCAUCAAGUUGUCAUUCAUUCCCUUUUACUUGUUGUAAUUUAAUUGGUAUACAACAAACAACACAUUUUAUAGUGUACAAGUUCAUAAGUUUUGAACCUAUGUACAUGGCCUGAAACUACUACAAAAAUCAAGAUAAUAAAUAUAGCUACCUCCUAAAACAUUUCUAGGGCCCUUUUAUAUUUUUUUUCCUCCACUCCCUACUCCCAUCCCCAGGCAAUUAAUGAUCAACUUUUGUUAAUAACUCAGUAAUAUAUAAUAAUAUAUAAUAACGUAGUAACUUUUUGUUACUAUGGUUUGCAGUUUAAACAAUUUUAUAUAAAUGGAAUCAUACAAAUUUAUGUUUUUCUGUUUGGCUUCUUUCAAUCAUUUCUCAUCAUCAUCAUCUUUAUUUUUGAGACUCAUCAAUGUAUCAGGUGUAACAACAGCUUGUUCCUUUUCAUUGCUGAGUAGUAUUCUAGCAGUGGAUACCCCCAGUUAGAGUAUCCAUUCACCUAUUAAAUAUUUGGGUUGUUCACUGAUUUGAAUAUUACAAACAAAGUAUCCAUGAACAUUCAUGUGUAGGUCUUAUUGUGGAUGUAUGCUUUUAUUUCUGUUGGCUAUGGAUGUAGGCGUGGAAUGGUAGUAGUUUGGUUAACAUUUAAGGGAAUUUUCAUACUGUUUUCUAAAGUAGUUCCAUUUUAUAACUUACUGUCAGUGUAUGCAAAUGCAGUUCAUUUACACUUCACCAAUCCUAGAAUGUUAAGUUUUUAAUUUUAGUCACCGAACUAGAUAUAUAAUGCUAUCUCAUUGUGGUUUGAAUCUGCACUUCCCUAAUGAUUGAUCGCGUUGAGCAUGUUUUAAAAAAAUAUUUUUUGCCAUAUAUAUCUCUGACCACUUUUUAAAUGAUGGUUUGUAUUCUUAUUAGUUUUGAGAGUUCAUUGUAUAUUCUGAAUAUAUAAGUUCUUUCUUAGAUAUAUAACUUGUAAAUAUUUUCUGUUAAUCAGUUAUCUUUUCAUUCUUUAUUUCUUAUUUAUUUAUUGUUUAUUCUAAUUUGUUAUAUAUGACAGCAGAAUGCAUUACAAUUCAUAUUACACAUAUAGAGCACAAUUUUUCACGUAUCUGGUUGUACACCAAGUAUCAUCACACCAUCCGUGUCUUCAUACAUGUACUUAGGGUAAUGAUAUCCAUCUUAUUCCACCAUCUUUUCUACCUCCAUCCCCACUCCCUCCCCCACCCGUUUAUCUUUUUAUUCUUAAAAGUAUCCUUCAAAAGGCAGAAUUUUUUAUUGUAUAAAUUCCAUUUUAUGGACUGAAUAUUGAGUAUCACAGUUAAGAAAUCUUCACCUGAGGAGGGAAGAAUAGAAUUCAUUGGAUUCAGCGAAGGGGAAUGAAGGGAAUGGAGGGAGGCUGGGAACGGGAAAGACAGUGGGAUGAAUGGGACAUAACUUUCCUGUGUUCACAUAUGAAUGUAUGACCAGUGUAACUCCACAUCAUGCACAACCACAAGAAUGGGAAGUUAUACUCCAUGUAGUUUGAUAUGUCAAAAUACACCCUACUGUCAUGUAUAUCCAAAAAGAACAGAUAAUUUUUUAAAAAGUGGGGAAAAAAUUGUCACAUAACAUAAGGUCACAAAGGGUUUCUCCUAGGUUUGCUUCUAGAAAUAUUACAGUCUAAGGUUUCACGUUCAGGGCUGUGAUGAGUCUUGAGUUACGUGAGUUUCCAUUUCCAGGGGUCUUCUAGCUCCUCUGCUGAUCUGCACUUCCCUGGGGCCUCCUUUUCCUUCCUUGUUUUUACUUCUCUGAAGGAGUUCAAGGAUUUCCUUUAUCAUUUUUUUUUUCAGUGUGGAUCCGCUGAAGUCACAUUUUUCAAAUUUUAUAUGUCCUAAGAUGUAUUUAUUUCACUUUCAUUUUUGACAGAUAUUUUUGCAGAGCGUAGACAUUGUUUUUUCUUUCAGUACUUCAAAGAUAUUGCUUCAUUGUGUUUUACUCACGUUGCUUAUAAUAAAAACAUGUCAAAAUGAUUAUCUUUAUUCCUUUGAAGGUAAAAGUGUCUUUUUUAUCCCUCUGGCUGGUUUUAAGAUUUUUUUCUUUAAUAUGGAUUUUGAGAAAUUUGGUUAUCAUAUGUCUUGAUAUGAUUUUUUUUCAUGUUUCCUGUGCUCAAGGUUUGUUGAACUUCUUGGAUCUGUUAAAUAUAUCUCCACAUUUUGAAAAAAUUUCAGCUAUGAUAGAUUCAUAAAUAUUAUUCUGUCCCUCUCUCCCCCUCCUCUCUUUUGAGACUUUAAUUGCACCUAUGUUAGGAAGCUUGAUGUUUUUCCAAGUUCAAUCAUGCUCUAUUGAUUUAUACUUGAGUGUAUCUUUUCCUAAUAUGUAUAUUUUGGGUUAGUGUCCACUGUUAUGUCUUUAAAUUUAUUAGUCUUUUUUUCUGCAUCAAAUCUGCUUUUAAUCCAUCUAGUGUAUUUUUAACUCCAGAUAUUGUAAUUCUCAUCUCAGGAAGUUCAACUUGGUUCUCUUAAAAGUGUGUACCAUGUAUCUACUUAACAUGGUCAAUACUUCCUCUAACUUUCUGAACAUGCAGAAUAUAGUUGUAACUGUUUUAAUAUCCUUUUCUGCUAAUUCUAGCACGUGGGUCCAUAAAUUUGAAAGCAGAAAAUACUUACCAGAAUGAAAUCUUGCUCUGUAUUUAGAAAUCAGAACCCAUCUCUGUAAGAUUGUGUGUAAAAGAAAAACAAAAUUCCUUUUCAAAAGCCAAUUCAAAGGCCAGGCUCUGUGGUACAUGCCUAUACUCCCAGUGGUUUGGGGGGCUGAGAAAGGAGAAUCACAAGUUCAAAGCCAGCCUCAGCAAGAGUGAAGUACUAAGCAACUCAGUGAGACCCUGUCUCUAAAUGAAAUACAAAAUAAGGCUGGGGAUGUGACUCGGUAGUUGAAUGCCCCUGAGUUCAACCCCCGGUACCCCAUCCCCAACAACAAAAACAACAAAAAAUCAAUUAGAGCCUGGAGUGGUGUUUCAGGCCUAUAAUCUGAGCUCCCCAGGAGGCCAAGGCAGGAGGAUUACAAGUUCAAAGCCAGCCUGCACAAUUUAGUGAAACCCUGUCUCAAAAUAAAAAAAGAUAUUAAAAAAAGAGCUGGGCAGUAUAGUUCAGUGGUACAGCACCCUUGCAUUCAACCCCCAGUACUAGAAAAAAAAAUCAAUUAGAUCUCAAACAUUUAUCUCCUGUGUAAUAUGGCCUUUAAAACCUCUAAAGGCCUUUAAUACUAAUUAAUCUUCAAGAGAAGUGGUAAUAAAAUUAAAAACUGUUACUUCAGAGUUAUGUGAAUGAUCGUUUUUCUAUGCCCCUGUAUGCUUCAAGGCCAAUGUACCAGGAAAUAUGAUGAAUUUCUUAUCUUCCAGAAUGUUGCUAGGGUUUUACUAUCAACAAGACUGGAAAUGGGUUAAAGCAUCAUAGUCCAGGUAUUAAGGGUUCACCCAGAACAAGACAGCAUGGAUCUUGGGUUUGGACUGGAGAAUAAAGGUACACGUGAGGAUGUCAGAGGGGCUGAAAGCCUCAGGAAAAACACAGCAUAUUUUGGGACAUCCAUUUUGCCUCUUGGUAAAGUUUUCAAACACUGGUUAAAACAAACAGAUAUAUUAUGCUGUAAAAUGAAAAUUCUGCAGAUCUUUAAGAUAAACUGUUUUAAGGUUUGCCUACGUACUAGGCAUAUUAUUUUUAUUAUUAUUAUUAUUUUUUACUUUUUAAUUUUUUUAUGGUAUUGGGGAUUGAACCCAGGGUCUUGCACGUGCUAGGAAAGCAUUCUAACACUGAGCCACACCUCCAGCCUAAGAUGAGAUAUUUAGACUUAGAAGAAAUACCGAGCCUUGGGUUACUUUAGGCCAUGCCCUCUGUGGGCAGGAAGGUUCUGUUACUUCGGUAAAAAAAGAGUGAGAAACCUUGUUCUAAAACCAUGGUGCCCCUAAAAAGGGAGGGAGAUAGCUCCUGACGGAAGGCCUGCACCUGUGCUGAUAGGCCAUGCGCAUGCGGACAUCCUCCAGAGAUAGCAAAUGGGAGCAAACCAUUGCACACAUUCAUCAUCCAUUCAUCCAUCUUUUAAGCAUUUUAAAAAUGCCUCCUAUGUAGCAAAGAUUGCAAUAGAUGCUGAAGUCAGUAACAGGAUUCAGUGCCUAGUGAAGGAAUUCUCUAAGUUCUUCUUGCCCCAACAUAUAUCAUUAAAAAAACAAAAACAAAAACAACAACAACAAAAACUCUUGAUCUGUGCCAGACAUGGUUUCAAGUGAUUUAAAGGAAAUAACUUGUUUAAUCUUUGUAUUCAUAAUCCUCUAUGAAUGUAGAUGCUCCCGUCAUCCCAUCACACAGCGGGUGUACUGUCCAGGCUGAGAGUCAUUGUAUAGUGGGACAGACAUUUCUAUAAAAAAUCAAAACACUAUGAGGGUGGGGUCGAGGCUCGGUGGUAGAGUGCUUUCCCCGAGUGCUCAAGGUCCUGGUUUGAUUCUCAGACCACAAAAACUAAAACAAAACAACAAAUUUUAACAUUAUGGUAUAAGGGUAAGAGCUGUGGGACUAUUUCUAAGGCAAUGGAGACCCUUGGUUCCAGAUAAAAGACUGACAGAGUUUAUAAACCCCAAGUGGAAAUGUCUUCCCUUCCUGCUUAUUUAUUAUCACAGAAUCUGUGCCUAAUAUGUGACUGACUUUUCAUAGCGUUUGACUGAUCCUGAACAAAGUCAGUGUGAAGCACGCCUCAGCUCACAGCCUCCCAUCUGGUUUUGGCCAAACUGAGUGGUGGGGAAUGUUAUCUAAUGCGCCAGAAUUUAGCUCCUGACCAUUUCUGAAAACAAGUUCUAGUUCUGUUUCUCUUUUCUCCCCAGCUGUAGGAAGGUAUAACUGGCAAAUAAAAAUUGAAUAGAUUACAACAAACAAUGCGAUAUUUUGCUCAGUUCUGUUUUUUUUAAUUGAUUUUAUUAAUUUUUAAAAAAUACACGACAACAGUGGUUAGUUCUAUUUCUUGGGACAGCUUUUCAUGUUCUGUGUUUGGGACGUUAAUAGCCAUUAUAUGGAGAAAUAAAAGGGGGGUCAUGUUUUAAUAAAUUUGGUGAAUUAACUCUAAGAAAGUCUUCUUUAUUAGAGGAUUUUCUCAGAAUAUUUUGUAUGCUAAUGUGUUUUAUGAACCUCAGGGGGCACUGCUCUUUGGCAUUUUCCAAGUUGUUUACCCACUCAACUCUUUUUCUUGUUGUCAUUUUUUCUUUUGUUUGUUUUUUGGUUCUGGGGUUUGAACCCAGGGGUGCUCUACAACUGAGCUAUCCCCAGCCCUUUUUAUUUUGAUUUUUUAUUUUGUGACAGGAUCUCAUGAAGCUGCCCAGGCUGGCCUUGAACUUUCCAUUCUCCUGCCUCAGCCUUCUGACUAGCUGGGAUGACAGGAGUGGCACCACCCAGGGCUUGACUCUGUUCUUGAUAGCCACAUCAUGACACUGCAUUGGAAUGGCUGGGGAAGCUUAGGUGUCCCACAGUUAUAAUGAGCCUGAUCCUUCUUCCCAGGCUGGCUUUCCAAAUACCUGUGCAUGGGCCUCAGGGAUAGUCUCCUCCCGUGUCUUCCUGACUUCUCCAUGGUGAGGUUCUCACCUUCCUCUGGAUCUCCUCUCUGGGGGCAGCUCCUCUGUGCCGGUGUUCCUCCUAAUGUGUGGGGUUCAGAACUGAGGAUAGUAGCCAUCCAUGGGUUUUGGGGUUAAUUCUGAUGGACAUCUUAGGAACGCUGGGGACACUUUGUUUUUGUUCCUUUAUUUCCAACCUGAUAGGGAGGGUUGAUGAAUCCUUGAUAUAGAAAUGAUGGAUAUUAAGAGGCUUGAGGAAUUUGGAGCAGUUCAGAUAACAAAUAGAAUGAUUCGUGGUUUUGAAGGUAUGAGGUGUCAAACAUUUGAGAGCUGUUAGGUGCAAAGCUCUAUGGAGGACAGACAAGAUCUGCACAUUCAUCUUUCUCUCAAAGAGCUAAUUGUUAAACGAUGGAGGUGUUCAUAGAAAAGGCCAAAAUUACAAGAUAGCAUCACCCACUGUCAGAUUGACUAGAGCUAUUGGAGCUAAAGGAAGAUUCGCGACUAGCCAUCUUUAUGUUUCCUCCAUGGAAUCUCAUGCAUAUCCUCAGGAUGAACAAGCCUUGCAGAGGGACUGAAAGAGGUGGGCUUUGCUUGAAGGGGCUGUGUGCUCCCAAACAGCCUGGCACAAAGUGAAAUUUUGAUCACGGAAUGCUUUUCCCAAUGAUAUUUUAUAAAAUUAGAGAUGUGUUUUCUAGAAGAAGGUAAUGUUUACUCAAAGUCAGAAAUCAGGGCACACCCUGGAGUCGACCUCUACAAAAGUCAUGUGUUUAAAUGCCAAGACAGAGGAUUCUUUUUUUUCUGUUUUUUUUUAAAGAGUCCAAAGUAUUAUUCAGAAUAAAUUAAGGAAUACAAAUACUCUCUUCUCAAGGCAGCUUUCAUAUUUGAGGAAGUUCAGUGUGGUUGGCAGGAACACAGAUGUUGGAGUGAGACCAUCUUGUUUCUGUCGUUAUUCUAAUUAUUGAGUGACUGAUCCUGGAUUUCUUAAUUUCUCAGGGUCUCCUUUCCUUCCUUCCUUCCUUCCUUCCUAUCUUUUACGUCUUCCUUUCCUUUUUAUUUAAAAAAUAUGGCGUAUUCAAUAGUGUGACCUCCUAGGCUUGGCAGGAGUGUUAAUGGGUUUCUGAACACAAAGCACUCAGAACACUUAGGAAAACCUCAUUAUUAUGUAUUUAUUGCUAUAUAACAAAUUGCCAUUUGUUGUCAUUAUUUAUUGUCUUUGUCUAUUUUUGAGGGGCUGGACUUCAGAACAACUUAGCUGGGAGACUGGCUGGAGAUUUUUCAUGAAGUUACAGUUGGCUCUCUGCUGGUGCUGAGUCACGUGGAGGCUCACCUGGGCUGGAGGACCCAUCUCCAAGGCAGUUCUCAUAUGGUUGGGGACUGGUCCCCCCUGGUGGGAUGCCUCACUUCACCUUGGCAGGGGCGUCUCCACAGGGUGGUGGAGGACCUCACACCAUGGCGGCCAACUACCAUAGAGCAGAGGUCUAAGAGGCCAAGGUGAACUGCAAUGCCUUUUAUGACCUAAUUUUGGGAGUCACACGCUGUCACUUCUCCUUUAUCCCACUCUUAUUCAGUGUGGGAGGGGACUCUAUGAGGCAUGAUUGUGAGGAGGUGGCCAUCCAUGGGGGUUAUCUUGGAGCUGGCUACUGCGGCCGUCAAGGAGGUACUGUGUCCUAUUAUGUGAACUGACAUUAGGUAAAGGACACUUAAAUAAGAAUAUUGUAAAAUCCUGCAGCCUCAGCAUUGUCUUCUAAAAGGACAGUUUUAUAACAGGACUCCAUUGCUGUAAAGCACAUAUCAGGUGCUUUGGUUUACACUUACUUGAAAGAGGAACCUGAAACAAGGCCUUGGGUACCAGGAGUUUAUUUGGAAGCAGGAGGGAGGGAGGAGGGAUGUGAGGUGAGGAAGGAAGAAGAGCCACAUGGGGGUUGCUACUCCAGCCUCUGUGGACUGGAUUCCUCUGGGACCUUCUAGGAGGGCUACAGAAGGCCUCCCAGCAUUGUCCUCCGGAAGUGUGGAUGACCUGCACACUGGCUCCCAACUCCAGGGUUUCUACUGGGGGCUUAGCUUCCCUUGCACUUCAGAUCUGGACUUGCAUUCUGGCUGGGGUUCUCCAUGAUGUUGGAGAAGGUCUGAGAGGAAGCAGAACCCUUGGCUCUUGGAGGAAGGAUGCUGUCAUCACAGGGUGAGUCUGAGCUCACCCAGCUGCGGUGGAAACCAGAGGAGGCUGAGGGACUUGGCGGGGAUGCAAGAGGCACUUGCUUCAUCGUGUUUUCAGGAGCUGGGGUUUGGAGGCUGUGUUAGUUCAGCUCCUCCAAGGAGCAGGUGUCAAGACCGGGUUAGAAGGAGGAGAAGUGAGUUGGGGAAAUAUGCCUUGAGGAUGGUGGGGAGGGAGCUAGUGGAGGCUGGGAAAGCCCAGGACAGUGAUGCAGUCUGACCCUGGGGAGGAGAGAGGGAGGAAGUAAUGUGGGGCUGAAAGAAUCUUAGACUGUGAUUCAGGUCUGGGAAAGGUUCAGCAAGGCCAGUGCCAAGGCUUCAAGCCAAAGUCUCCCAUUGGUAGAGUCUUGGGUUCGGCAGCACUGGACAACUUUGUGUCCAGCUGGUGUGAAGUGUGACUUUAGUGGAAACGCAGAGGUAGGUCAGAGCAUCUCAGCCUGGCAAUCAGGCAGUCACCCUCCCUCACUACCAGUGGGAAAGGCACAUUUCUAUCACCACAGGAGUGUUAUUCAUAAGCUACCACAGGCAUGUAUUUGGGGAACCAGAGUUAUUUACUGUGAAAUAUUAGAGGUCUCCUUCUUCUUUCUGCCACAUUGCCUGAAAUUCUCCCAUAAGGUACUAAUUCCUGUGUUUCAUUGUUGCCCUCUCUUCCAGGUCAACUCUGGGAGAAAGAAUGCGUCACGUCACCAAUACUUCAGCAUGAACAAAUCAUUCAAAUGCUUUUUUUUUCAGUUUUUAUUUUUAAAAAUAUUUAUUUGUUCUUUUUAGAGAUACAUAGCAGAAGAGUGUAUUUUUACAUAUCAGACAUACAUGGAGCAUAACUUCCCAUUCGUGUGGUUGUAUGUGACGUGGAGUUACAUGGGUGGCCUCUUCAUGUAUAUACGAACCUAGGAAACUUAAGUCCGAUUCAUUCUACUGUCUUUCCUAGUCCCACCCCCUUCGUUCAAAUUCUCUUAAUGUCUAAUAGAAGGGAUCUGGGACAACUCAAGGGCAUGUGAAAUUUGGGCAAGUGGCAACUAUGGAAAGGGACUCAGAUACGAGGCAGUGGACACACACACACACACACACACACACACACACACACGGGCACACCUUCACUUGUGCCAAUAUCUCGUUCCUGCUGGAAAUGGGACAAAACCAACAUCCAGUCUGCAGUGGAACAGCAGGUGAAAUGUGCUUCCAUGAAACGUCUGUUGGUGCCACUUUUCCCUAUCACCUGAAGUUUUUGAAGGGGAAUGUAUUUUUCUGGGUGGUUUGAGAAAUUAAGUAAAUGUUUUCUAAGUGACUGGAAUAUAUGAGUAGAGAAAAGGAGCAGGAGAUCCUCAGGGUUCUCAGCAGGUGAUCCGUGGGCCACCUGCUUUGGAAUCCUGUCUUCCUCCCCUCUCACAUCCCCACACUGCAGACCAAGUGACUCAGAAGGUCUAAGCCAGAAGCCAGCACUUGGACAAGGAUUUCUGGUGAUUUUUGUGAAGACUAGAAUUUGAGAACCACAGGUUCAAGGAUAAUUAUAGUGGGACAAAGGACACAAAGACCAUCGCUAGGGGAGUUGAGCUCUGACACAUAAUCAAGAUGUUCCCUAUCUUCUCUUCAGAAUUCCAGACGCCAGCUUCUGUCUCCAACUCCCAGUGGGUCCUUCAAAAUUCCAAACUCAACUUGUCCCCGGCCAAAUACCUCAUCACCUGGCCGUUGCAGAGGCUUCUCCACCAGCCUUCCCCAGCAUGGCAAAAGACCACUCCGUCCUUUUGGUUUGCGCAGACCAGGCACAUCUGCCUUUUCUCCCUUCCCCUCGCUUUCCCUCUUUCUCCCCAUAUUUAUCCAAAUAGCUCAGCUUCACAACAUGCCAGAAUCAUCUCAGCACAGUUCUGCCCUUCACGGCGGGCCUAGCUGCCAUGAACCUGGCUUGCCUUUCCACAGUGCCUCCCGACCUUCUCCCUGCCUGUGCCCUUGCGCUCCCUCCCUCUCCAACCACUGCAAGGCCACCCUCAGCAGCCACAGUGACCCUCUGCUCAAAGCCAUCCAUCCGUUCCCAACCUCUCCUCAACUGGACACCUAAGUCCUCAGAGUGCCUUGGUCAGGACCCUAGCUGCCCCUCACUGCCUACAACUUUCUCCAGUAUCUCCUGUGCCCCAGCCUCACUAGUCGCCCUGCUGUUCUGGAGCACACUGAGCAUGACCCUGCCGGAAUCUCGGCACUGACUGUUCUUCCUGGACCACUCUUCCCUCAGAUGUCUGAGUAGCUCUCUCCCUCGUCUCCUUUACUUCAAUAUUACCUCCUCAGGGUCCCCUACUAUUUAAAAUUGCAGCCCUUCACAGUCUGCCUUCCCUUUCCCUGUCUUGAUUUCUUUUUCGUAGCACUGGGCAUAUUCUAAUGCUCUAUGUAAUUUAUUAUGCUUAUUUCUUAUCUCUUCCCAAUAGAAGGUAAGCUCUGCAUAGGCAGAAAUUUUUGCUUAUUUUAUUCACUGCUGUAUUUCAGGAUCUAGAACUAUGCCUGGAACACGAGAGAUCCUCAGUAAAUUAGUUUGUUAAGUGACAGUGGUGUGGCACGUGAUUUUACGAAAUGAUUCCUCAUAGAGAAUUUGCCAUAUCUAGAUUUAAAAAAAUGGUCUACUGGCCUAGACCACCCAUGGAAACAUACAUGUCAUUUCAAAAUAGCUGGCAGGAAACUUAUCCAUUGUGUCCUGUGGCUCUGGGAACCCUCCCAAGCAUUUUUACCAGCAUUAUCUUUUUAUUCCAAGAGUCAACCCUGUGAUGGGGGUCCACUUUUAUCCUUAUUUUUCAAAUGGGGAAGUUGAGGCUCAGGCAGGUUAAGAACUUGCUCAAGGAUACAGUUAGUAAGCCACAAAAUUAGAAUUUGAACCUAAAUUGGGAGAGUCCAAAGCUUUUGUGUUUAGCCAGUAAGUACACUGCUGACUCAUAGAGUAGACCGCCUUAAUGGUGCCUAACCUCUGCGGUAUGCCUCUUUAAAGCUUAAAGCUGUGCUUCAUACACUUUUAAAGAUCUGUUUUGAUUAUACUAAUAUUACUGUGUUGUUUAUUUAGUUAAGUGUUUCUGUUGGCAUUUGUAGGAACAUGUGCUCUUAUCCCCAUGAGCUUUUUAGAUUUUUAGAACUUGUUGAUCGCUUGGCUCUGCCAGUUCUUAAGCUGCUCAAAGGAAUCCUGUAACUUCAAACACUCCCGCUGGCUCCCACUGGACUUUUAGAUCCCUCUAGGGGCCCCUCUGAAGGCAUUCAUCACAGGCUGCCUCAUUGUAUUUAUUCUACUGAAUUCAAGUCAACGGGUUUCUCGAGUAUCCCAAGAAAACAGGCUGCUGUCCAGGCUCUGCAGACAGGAGUUAGAGGCUACAUGGUUCUUGCCCCUCAGGCUGUCACUGGAGCCAGCGAGAAUACAGGAGCCCUGUGGAGCCACACGGAGCAGAGACACUCCUCCCAGGCACAGGAGCCAAGCUUGGCUGAGCCGAUCGCGAAGGAGGAACAAUUAUUGCUCCUUUGAUAGGUAGGAUCCUCAUAAUCAUCAUUCCUGUGAUUGCUAAAGAUGUUGCUCAUACAAAAAGGUGAAGUCUUCUCUCUCUGCUUCUUGACCACCAUGUGAGCUGCUUCCCUCUGUCGCACUCAUCCGCCAUGAUGUUCUGCCUCAACUUGAGCCCUGAGGAAUGGAGGCGGCCUUCUACAGACUAAGACCUUUGAAACCAUAGCCCUCUAAUAAACUUUUCUUCCCAUAAAAAAAAAAAAGAAAGAAAGAAAAAAGAGUGAAGUGUCUUGCCCAAGUCCUCAGGGUUAGUAAGUGGCAGAUCUGGGAUCUGAACCCAAAUAACAGUUCUCCCAGAAUUUGGGCACUUACUGUCCAUCAAAUGCACCAGGUUGUCCCUAGUUUUGAUGAGUCUUGGAAGGUAUGAGAUGGGUCAGGAUGCUGGGCCUCCCUAGGCAUGUCAAAGGAACAAUGUUAAGGCUUCCUGGACAAGCUAGUUAUACACAAACUUUUCCUACAAGGAAAGGAAGAAUUUAAUAGGAACUUUCUAUGAGCCCUUUGUCACAGAAAGAGUCUGUCUGGAAACCUACUUAUUGGAACUUGAGCACUAAAUAUGCAUCAAAGACUUGUCAUUCUAAGGCAGGAGUUUGCAUAAGUCAGAAGUUUGUUUACUCCCAUGAGUCUGAAUAAAGAUCAAGGUUAGGUUAAAUAGCUAUUAAUAACAGUUGGAGUUGAGUAAGAGAAAAAAACAAACCUCUGGGACUGGUUGCUUUAGUCUCUUCGAUAGAUGAUCAGGCUAAUACUUGCUACUGGUUUAUUUUAUAUUAUUAUUAUUGUUAUUGGCUUCAGGUGCACCAAAUUAAAUCAGUCAUAACCUUGGCUUGUAACACACUGUCUACACUCAUCCCUGCUCCUUGUUUAUGCUGAUAUUGUUCCAAGUAAUUCUAUUGUAAAGUGCAAUUGAGAUCACAUUCCAAUACACACUCCUGGGUUCUCUGGGUUUGGAUCUACAGCUUGUGGGUGGAGUCUUUACCUACAUUCUGGACACAAAACCUAGCAGGAGUGUUCCUGUACCCAGAAUAUGGUGGCACAUGAUCCUGCCAAGGACAGGAGGUUAAGUCUUCAGGGCAGAGUCAGUCACGGGCUUGGUGAGAACAUAGUAUUCAUGACAUCCUUUCCAAGUUCCAAGGAGAUAAACAACUGAUCAUUUUCCAGGAAAACUGAGGCCUUGUUUCCAGGACCUGAGGAUCUUCAUAACCAUAUUUCCUCUGUCAGUUACAGAGCUGCUCCCCCUCUCACCCCUUCUCCUUGGCAGGGCCAGCUUGGGUGAGGGCAGCAGAGCUGCCUCUGAGGGGACACUUGGGAACUGCACUUUGCCCAUGGCCCCCGGGGAGAGAUCCCGCCACAGCCUGGAGGCUUAGUCAUAGGGAGGAGUUCAGGUCCCCUGGAGAACAUUCUCUCCCCAAACCAAGUCUGGCAAAGCUUUCACAUUUGUCUCUUUUCCUACUCACAACUUCUUCUUUCUGCUUCUAUGGAAAACAUUUGUUUCAACUUCCCUAUUCCUUUUCAAAGUAAGUUUAAUUUUGAAACGAAUCAAGGCUGGGCACUUCAUGUUUCCAGUGGUUAGGGUCACUCUAAAUACCCUGCCUCUAUCAAGGGCACCUGUUUUUUUUUUUUUUUUUUUUUAAAUCUAAUUUGGUAAGAGCAUGAGCUCUGUAGUCAUAUCAACAAUUUCAAGUCCUAACUCCAAUAUUCAUUGACACAUUUGAAAACCUUGGACAACAUAUUUAAUUUUGCUAAAUUUUAGUCUUUACCUAUGAGCUAAUGGUAACUAUCUCAUAAAGUUAUUGUGAAGAUCAAUCCAGAUGUCGUUGUACAACCUCUGUUGUGGCACUUGGCACUUGGUGAGCACUCCCCUUCAUGGUGAAUGUUAAUUACUGAUAUCAUUGUGAAACAUGUUUUAAUAUAUUCAUGCUUUUA